rnacentral:rRNA from 1 species
GAUGAACGCUGGCGGCGUGCCUAAUACAUGCAAGUCGAGCGAACGGUCGAGAAGCUUGCUUCUCUGAUGUUAGCGGCGGACGGGUGAGUAACACGUGGAUAACCUACCUAUAAGACUGGGAUAACUUCGGGAAACCGGAGCUAAUACCGGAUAAUAUUUUGAACCGCAUGGUUCAAAAGUGAAAGACGGUCUUGCUGUCACUUAUAGAUGGAUCCGCGCUGCAUUAGCUAGUUGGUAAGGUAACGGCUUACCAAGGCAACGAUGCAUAGCCGACCUGAGAGGGUGAUCGGCCACACUGGAACUGAGACACGGUCCAGACUCCUACGGGAGGCAGCAGUAGGGAAUCUUGCGCAAUGGGCGAAAGCCUGACGGAGCAACGCCGCGUGAGUGAUGAAGGUCUUCGGAUCGUAAAACUCUGUUAUUAGGGAAGAACAUAUGUGUAAGUAACUGUGCACAUCUUGACGGUACCUAAUCAGAAAGCCACGGCUAACUACGUG